AUANGCAUGCAGUUCGAGCGAGGACAGGUUUUUGUAGCAAUACAAGAGUUGAGCCGAGCNCCNUAAGGGGCAGCUAAAGCGUGGAUAACGUACCCCUCGAACUGGGAUAGCCACGGGAAACUGUGGGUAAUACCGGACGACGUAACGAAGUCGCAUGGCUUUGUUACCAAAGGUGUGAGUCCGGCGAGGGAGCGGUUCACGUGCUAUUAGCUUGUUGGCGGGGUAACGGCCCACCAAGGCUGAGAUGGCUAGCGGGUGUGAGAGCACGACCCGCGCCACUGGCACUGAGACACUGGCCAGACACCUACGGGUGGCUGCAGUCGAGGAUCUUUGGCAAUGGGCGCAAGCCUGACCAAGCGACGCCGCGUGCGGGAUGAAGGCCUUCGGGUUGUAAACCGCUGUCGAGGGGGAUGAAGGGCACGGNGGUACUCCUCCGUGUCACGCCUGACACAUCCCUGGANGAANCACGGGCUAAGUUCGUGCCAGCAGCCGCGNUAAGACGAACCGUGCGAACGUUGUUCGGAUUCACUGGGCUUAAAGGGCGCGUACGCGGCUUGCCAAGUCUGUGGUGAAAUCUUUCGGCUCAACCGGAAAAUGGCCAUGGAUACUGGCGAAGCUCGAAGGUAGGUAAGGGUCAGUGGGAAACUUUCCANUGGAACCGGUGAAAAUNCNUUGAUAUUGGAAAGAAACGCCCCGUGGC
rnacentral:rRNA from 1 species